CGUUUACAAAGCAAAUAUCGAUGAUUUCAUCUGGAGUUUUGCGUGGGCCGUUGUUUUGCACCGCUGGUUCCGCUUAUUUCAAUAAUUUCUUAGUUACGGAACAUCAAUACCUUGCUGACGUCUGCAAGAAAAAAAAAGUGUAUUCAGUCGUAAGAAAUAUCGAUUCAAGUAGGAACUAUACUACAGAUUACGCGAUAAAACACAAGGCAGAAUAAUGUUGGAAUACUAAGCAUCGCUGGUAAACUUUGGCUGCUAGUGGCGGACUCCUCAGUAAGGCUCUCACCUAGCAGACCCUUAGACACAGCGAGAGAAGACAGGAAGAGUGAGUGUUUCGGUUUCAAAUAAAUAAUAAUAGUGAUAAUAAUUGGUAUGGAAUUUAUGAUAACUUGGACCCAAUUAUUAUAAUAAAACCUGGGAAGAUGCUCGAUGUUCCGAAAAAAAAGCGGAUAAUAAAAAAUUUGAACAUUCCAUGGCUGUGAACGACUCGUGCAUUGAAAUUGUAAAAAACAUUUUGGUAAUGUAAUACAUUACACAUGUAUUCCAGUUUCAUUAGCUGUUCAAUCGAUUGAAAGUUUGAUUAACUGUCUUAAUAAAUAAUAUCUGACUACUUACAUUUCCUUUAGGAUGAAUUCUUGAAAAAAAGAUGCUGUUAUGUUAAAGCUUAAAGCACCUCGGAUAAUACGAAGCUUCGGUUAAACUGGCCUCGGAUAAGCAAGGCGCCAGUGUACCUCAUAUUGCGAGAAGGAGAAUUUCCUAUGACUUUUUUAUUGAUACUAAAUAUUGGCAACUAAGUGAUUGCAGAUUUUGUCAUUAGGUGGUAUUGACAUCUGUACAUAAGAAUUCGAACAGUUAUGGCCUUUAUUGUUACAUACUACUGAGAUAUGUGUAAUUCUGUGUGCUACACUAGAUUAGCCGCGUAGUAGUGACACGCGUAUAUGAGUACGAGUGUGUUGGAGUAUGUGCGUGAACAGCGUCUCGUAAAACAGAAGAAUGCGACUGUUCCGUCGAUAAGGAAGAUGGCGAGACAAAGAGAGUGCUGAGACGCGUGCAAUGUGUAUCGACGAAUAUCUUGUACAUCACAAAUUAAAUAAAUCUGAAACUAUUUUAAUAUCAA